rnacentral:rRNA from 1 species
CCUUUGUUGGUUUGAGGGACUGAAGUAAUGAUUAAUAGGGAUAGUUGGGGGCAUUAGUAUUUAAUUGUCAGAGGUGAAAUUCUCGGAUUUGUUAAAGACUAACUUAUGCGAAAGCAUUUGCCAAGGAUGUUUUCAUUAAUCAAGAACGAAAGUUAGGGGAUCAAAGACGAUCAGAUACCGUCCUAGUCUUAACCAUAAACUAUGCCGACUAGGGAUCGGAGGCGCGCUAUAUCCGCCUUCGGCGCCUUACGGGAAAC